rnacentral:rRNA from 1 species
CAGCCGCCGCGGUAAUACGUAGGGUGCGAGCGUUAAUCGGAUUUACUGGUCGUAAAGCGUGCGCAGGCGGCCCGUUAAGACAGGUGUGAAAUCCCUGGGCUCAACCUAGGAAUUGCGCUUGUGACUGGCGGGCUCGAGUACGGUAGAGGGGGGUGGAAUUCCUGGUGUAGCAGUGAAAUGCGUAGAGAUCAGGAGGAACACCGAUGGCGAAGGCAGCCCCCUGGGCCUGUACUGACGCUCAUGCACGAAAGCGUGGGGAGCAAACAGGAUUAGAUACCCUGGUAGUCCACGCCCUAAACGAUGGGUACUAGCCGUUUGGUGCGCGAUAGCGCUGAGUGGCGAAGCUAACGCGUGAAGUACCCCGCCUGGGGAGUACGGCCGCAAGGUUGAAACUUAAAGGAAUUGGCGGG